UACGUAGGUGGCAAGCGUUGUCCGGAUUUACUGGGCGUAAAGAGCGCGCAGGCGGUCGUUCAAGUCGCGUGUGAAAGCCCCCGGCUCAACUGGGGAGGGUCACGCGAUACUGAUCGACUCGAAGGCAGGAGAGGGAAGUGGAAUUCCCGGUGUAGUGGUGAAAUGCGUAGAUAUCGGGAGGAACACCAGUGGCGAAGGCGGUUAGCUGGCCUGUAACUGACACUGAGGCGCGAAGGCUAGGGGAGCGAACAGG
rnacentral:rRNA from 1 species